rnacentral:rRNA from 1 species
UAGGGAAUCUUCCGCAAUGGGCGAAAGCCUGACGGAGCAACGCCGCGUCAGUGAUGAAGGUCUUCGGAUCGUAAAACUCUGUUAUUAGGGAAGAAUAAAUGUGUAAGUAACUAUGCACGUCUUGACGGUACCUAAUCAGAAAGCCACGGCUAACUACGUGCCAGCAGCCGCGGUAAUACGUAGGUGGCAAGCGUUAUCCGGAAUUAUUGGGCGUAAAGCGCGCGUAGGCGGUUUUUUAAGUCUGAUGUGAAAGCCCACGGCUCAACCGUGGAGGGUCAUUGGAAACGGGAAAACUUGAGUGCAGAAGAGGAAAGUGGAAUUCCAUGUGUAGCGGUGAAAUGCGCAGAGAUAUGGAGGAACACCAGUGGCGAAGGCGACUUUCUGGUCUGUAACUGACGCUGAUGUGCGAAAGCGUGGGGAUCAAACAGG